AUACUGGUUCUUUUAGGAACCAGAAAACUCAAAAAAAAAAAAAAAA
rfam:Sarcophilus harrisii ctg7180002417102, whole genome shotgun sequence.